rnacentral:lncRNA from 1 species
CUCACCGGCGCGGCCCGAGGGGCGCCCGCCCGCCACGCCGCCCCUAGCCCCGCCUGGGGCGGGCCUAGGCCGGGCUAUAGGGGCCAGGGCCUUGGGCUGCGCCGGCCGCGGGAGGUGGGUGCUUCUCGGCGGCGAGCUGCGACUCGGAGAGACUCCUGUCCGCAGGUGCAUGGCUUCCGGGCGGGCCUCGGGCAGCGAGCUCCAGCCCCACUGAGAGGCCGCGGACCGCCUGGGGACUUGUGUUUGUGUGUAUUUUAAGCCAACAGCCCAGAAAGGGAAGGCGACUGGCCCCCGGUCUUCGCCAGUGUUUCCCGGCCGGGUUACUGGUGGUCAGGAGGGAAGCCAGGAGGCUGCCGGGCUCCGAGGCCGAUUCCUUGCGAACCAUCUCCGUUAAAGACUCCGCGCCGGGCAGCCCGGGAGUCCGGCGGUACCCGCGCAAACUUUGUCCCAGCGCCUUGGCUCACCGUGAAUGCCCUGCCUUGAAAAUUUGGAGUUUUUUGUUUCCUGAAAGUGGUCUGCUUUUCCGAUUUUAUCUGUGUUUUCCAUUUUUACCUUCUUAUUGUCAAUUUGUUUUCAGGCAUUAUUAAUUCAACAAAUCUUUGUACUGCCCCUUACCACGUGUCGAUGGUUCCGUGGUUUGGUGGAAAUAGAUCGCGCUUUGAAGUCAAGACGGAUCGGCCAUGGAAUUUUGGCUCUGAGAUCCUCUGUGUAACCGUGGAUGAGCUACAAGGCCUGCUGAGCCUCCAUUUGUCUGGUUUUUGUGGUUGUUUUAAUUUAUCUUUUUCCAUUUGAAGUUGUGGGUUUUGCAUAAAAUUGAACUGUUACCAGGCUAAGUCAACUGAAAUUGGAAUCUGGGGUACUGCUUGCUUUGAGGUUACUCUUAUACUGUCCACCAUUUGCUGGCUGUGUGAUCUCUAAACCUCUCUGUGCCCUGACUUUUCUAUCUUUAAAAUGGACGUAACAACAGAGGUUUAAUAAUAAGAGGUUUGGAGGUUAAGUGCUAAAAUGCAUAUAAAAUACCUAGCACAGGACACAGUAAAAAGAUUGUUACCGUAUUUCAUUGAAUCUGGUUUUAAGACACUUCCUGAUUUCAAAGAAACUAAAAGCUCAUCUUGAAGUCCAGGAAGUAGGUUUUGGGUCACUCAGAACUCCCAAGGGACUGUAUUUGGUAGUAACUAGUGAUAAACAAACUGGAGUUUAAAUGAGGACUUUGUCACCAGAGAUAUUUUUAUUGCCUGUAUGGAGCUCCUGCACAAAUUUAUUCCAUUUCUCUUGUAGAAAGAGAUCCAACCUGGCCGUAAAUGGGGUGUGGUGGAGUAGAAAGAAGGGUAUUAAGUAAAGCUCUGUGUCGAUGCCUUUCUGAGCAUUUUACGGUGUUGGCAUAUGUGAUCCUGGGUAUCAGGAGCCUCAAUUUCUUGGGCUGUAAAAAUGGGGAGAACAACGCUGAUCCCAUUGUCUCCUGAUGGGUAAGUGAUGUCUAUAAAUAAAUUGUAUAGAGAUUAAGGCAUUAUCAGUGCUGUAGUCUGAUAAAAUGGUGGAGCAGAUAGGAAAGCCUACAACAGUACUGAACUGCAGGAGGGACUAAGAGUAAAUAUAGAGAUUUCAUUUGCUUGGUUUUGCAGAGGGUUAGCUAACUAAACAGAUAACUUUGUUUUCGACAGUUACUUCAUUUUUUUCAGUCAGGCAAGAGUAAGGAGAGAGUAACUAAACCAUUUUUUUUCCUCUUUAAAUAAGAGUAAGCAGAAAUAUUAUGGUUAUUUGGGGUUUUCAUGACCUUCAUUCACUUAGCGGUCAGGCUGUUCAAUUUAAAACAACCUUUUGCUUGCUGCCCUGCCAUAUGGGAAAUUUCAUUUCCAAAAAAAGGAUUAAUUUCCAGCCUGGGCGAAACCCUAUCUCUACGGAAAAUAUAAAAAUUAGCGGCCAGGAGCAGUGGCUCAUACCUGUAAUCCCAGCACUUUGGGAGGCCGAGGCAGGUGGAUCACGAGGUCAGGAGUUCAAGAUCAGCCUGGCCAAGAUGGUGAAACCCCAUCUCUACUAAAAAUACAAAAAUUAGCCUGAUGUGGUGGCACGCGCCUGUAAUCCCAGCUACUUGGGAGGCUGAGGCAGAGAACUGCUUGAACCUGGGAGCAUUCCAGCCUGGAUGACAGAGUGAGACUCCGUCUCAAAAAAAAAAAAAAAAUUAGCUGGGCGUGGUGGCAUCCGCCUUUGGUCCCAAAUACUCAGGAGGCUGAGGUGGGAGGAUUGCUUGAGCCCAGGAGGUCGAGUCUGCAGUGAGCCGUGAUUGUACCACCACAUCCUAGUCUGAGUGACAGUGUGACACUCUGUCUCAAAAAAGAAAAGAAGAUCAAGAAGGAUUAAUUUAAAUCCUUAUACCAAAUUGUCUACCAAAUGAUUUUUGUUCCACUCCAGAAAUGUUUUCCUCCAGUCCCUUCCUCUCUCUGCACCCUCCUGAGUUCUCCUUUCUUCUGUGGACAACUGUAACUAAUGCGUGUUUUUGCUAGGCUGACCCUUCUUUCAUACUAUGGCCCAAUUAUGUUUUUUCAAAUAAGCUAAUGGAUGUAAGCACUGGUGAAAUCUGAAUAAGGUCUGUAGUCUACUUGAUAGUAUUGUACCAAUGUCAGUUUCCUGGCUUUUGAUAUUUUUCCAUAGCUUUGUAAGAUGUUCCCAUUUGAGAAAGUGUACCUGGGCCCUCUUUGCAACUACCUAUGGGUAAAUGAUUAUUUCAAAGUAAAAAAUUAAAGUAUAGGGACAGAAAUUAGAUCAAUGGUUACUGGCAACUGGAGCUGGGGAAGGGUGGACUGAUCACACUUUUUGAGAUGAUGAGAAUAUUCUCUAACUUGAUUGUGGUAUUUACAUUACUGGAUGACUCUGUGAAUCUGUC